UACAGAGGUGGCGAGCGUUGUUCGGAUUUACUGGGCGUAAAGGGUGCGUAGGCGGUUCUGCAUGUCGGAUGUGAAAUCCCACGGAUUCUCCGUGGAACGGCAUUCGAAACUGCAGGGCUGGAGUGCAGGAGAGGAGGGCGGAAUUCUCGGUGUAGCGGUGAAAUGCGUUGAUAUCGAGAAGAACGCCGGCGACGAAGGUGGCCCUCUGGACUGCAACUGACGCUGAGGCACGAAAGCUGGGGGAGCAAACAGG
rnacentral:rRNA from 1 species